ensembl:rRNA 5S_rRNA 5S ribosomal RNA
GCUUACGGCCUUACCACCCUGAACACGCCCGAUCUCGUCCGAUCUCGGAAGCUAAGCAGGGUCGGGCCUGGUUAGUACUUGGAUGGGAGACCGCCUGGGAAUACCAGGUGCUGUAAGCU